rnacentral:rRNA from 1 species
UACGGAGGAUCCAAGCGUUAUCCGGAUUUAUUGGGUUUAAAGGGUGCGUAGGCGGUUUUCUAAGUCAGCAGUGAAAUACGGCAGCUCAACUGUCGAGGUGCUGUUGAUACUGGGGAACUUGAGUACUGAUGAGGUAGGCGGAAUGGACGGUGUAGCGGUGAAAUGCUUAGAGAUCGUCCAGAACACCGAUAGCGAAGGCAGCUUACUAAGGAGUAACUGACGCUGAGGCACGAAAAGUGUGGGGAUCAAACAGG